rnacentral:tRNA from 1 species
UGUUCUGUGGCUUAGUUGGUUAAGGCGCCGGAUUAGCGUUAUGGGGUCGUGGGUUCGAAUCCCAUCAAAACAA